rnacentral:rRNA from 1 species
AUUGAACGCUGGCGGCAUGCCUAACACAUGCAAGUCGAACGGCAGCGCGGGCUUCGGCCUGGCGGCGAGUGGCGGACGGGUGAGUAAUGCAUAGGAAUCUGCCCAGUAGCGGGGGACAACCUGGGGAAACUCAGGCUAAUACCGCAUACGCCCUACGGGGGAAAGCGGGGGACCUUCGGGCCUCGCACUAUUGGAUGAGCCUAUGUCAGAUUAGCUUGUUGGUGGGGUAAAAGCCUACCAAGGCGACGAUCUGUAGCUGGUCUGAGAGGACGAUCAGCCACACUGGGACUGAGACACGGCCCAGACUCCUACGGGAGGCAGCAGUGGGGAAUAUUGCACAAUGGGCGAAAGCCUGAUGCAGCAAUGCCGCGUGUGUGAAGAAGGCCUGCGGGUUGUAA